CGGAGCGGGGGGGAGCGGCGGGAGCCCCCCCGGCCCCGCCCGGCGGAGCGGAGCGGGCAGGGCAGGGCCGGGCAGGGCCGCGCCGUGCUGCGGCAUGGAGGGGACGCGGACCCCCCCCCGCUACGGAUCGCUCGAGUCCACCCGCUGGCCGCAGCCAGAGGAUGAAAUUGUUUCCAUGGCCGACUCCACUACCACCAUCGAUGACAUCGAAGGGGAACUCUUCAAAAUCGAGAGGAUCAGGGAGAUCCUGGUGAGGAGGGAGUCGGAGCUGCGAUACAUGAUGGAUGACAUUCAGCUUUGCAAAGAAAUCAGCCGGCUGAAAAAGGAGCUUCAAAAACUGAUAGCCCUUCCAGAGACCGAGAAGUCCAACGAGGAGAAGCAGAAGGAGGAGGAGCUGGUGCAGCAGAUACACAAGCUGGUGGAAACUCGGGAUUUUCUGGUGGAUGAUGUGGAGUUUGAGAGGCUCAGGGAGAGAGAAGAAGACAAGGAAAUGGCAGAAUUCCUGCAAAAUAAGCUCUCCAAAAGCUACCUCCAGAAAGCAAUUAGCUGAGGUCACAAGUCAUGGUAUCCAUCCAGCCGUCCUCUCUUCAUGGCCUUUGGUGGCAGGCCACCCUUCCCUGUGCCUCCAUCACUGCUGGAGGAACACCUCCCCAGCGUGGUGGGCAUCUCCUGACCUGGGUCCCUGUGCCUCUGCGUGAGGAGGGGCAGCACCACAGCCCUGAGAGGAGCUCUCAGAAGAAGCAAUGGGCCUGUGCUCUUGUCAGCGAGCAGACACCAACCCUAAAGGUCUCCAGCCAGAGUCCACUACCUGCUGUCCUCCGAGAGUUUCAACCUCCUGUCAUUAUUCAUGCUUCCCACUGCAGCACCGCCACUGAAGAGACUUUCCAAGUAGGCUGGUGCAAGCUUGAAUGAUGGCAUGUCUCCUUGGUGCCACGUCAAUGGUCGUCUCCUCCAUGACAUCAACUGAAUCCCACCUGAGCUCAGCUUGGCAGAGGUGUGUGCAGCAGUGAGCCCACGACAAAGAGGUUCUGCACCUGCCGGUGUAAUAAAACAAGCACUUGGAGCUAACGUUUGGAGAACAUCGUGCUCUACCAUCCAAGAGAAGCUGUUGCCACAGAUCUCAUCCUUGGCCUUGUACCUUGUACCAGCUUGUGAGUCUCUGUGGGAUGGUUCCUAAGGACUCUUUGUGGGGAAUGUCUCUGGUCUGGGUUUUGUUGCGUUUGCCUUGAUGUUAUUGCCAAGUCCCCUAUGGCUCUGGGUAGAUCUGUGGGAAGUGAGAAGGGCAUUGCCCGGGGCUGGCUGAAUGAAGGGCUAAUUCUUGUGAUGCUUUCACCUGAGCACAGAUGUAGUGUGUUGAACUACAGGCAGAUGAUCUGCUUUCCCCACCUCGCUAUUACUGGGUUCAGUUUCAGCUCCAAGGAAAAAGAGGAAAUCAGAGAAAAAGAGGAAAGGAGACAAAAUCAGAAGAACAGAGCAACAUGCAAAGGAAGAUGAAUCCAAAUGGGAGACUAGAAAUGUGGCAGGGAAGGUUGAGAGAGCAGGUGAGAGACAUCCUUAAUGCCAAGAGGGCACUCAGCCCUGCCCUCCAGUGCCCAUCCAGUGCCCCCAGGCUUAGCACCAUGAGCUGGACCUAAGUCCUAUGUGAAAGGCUCACAGCACCCCGAGGUCACCCAGUAUUUCAGUCCUGCUGUCCCCUCUGAGCAUCCCCAUGUGGAGAUGGCACAGCCAGAGCUGCUACACCCACUGCAGCAGGACAGGGGCUCUCCUUCUCGCAGGGUGUGGAGGCCUCUCACAUCUUGAGCCCUGCCUGCCCUGUAGGGUGGUGUUGUGUCACUGGGUGGCCUGGGGUGGCCUCCCCUUUGGGUGGCUGCCCAGGAGCUUGUGCUGCCCUCUGGCCAAAGUGCUGAGGCCUUCAGCUCAGCCCUGCUGCAGCUUGCCAGUGGGCCUGGAGUUGGUGGGUGCCUCUGCCUGGCCCAGGGCCCGGCGUGCCCAUGUCAGAGAGGUUGCAGCCCACCUGUCUCUCCUCAUUGCACCUGAAAGCACAUUCAUCCCUAUAAAACCACGCAGGUGGGACCCUUCCUGGUGCAAUGUCACAAGCAGGUCCAAGUUCCUCCUGCAUUUCUCUAUCAGCACUGCCAGAAAUCCCAGUUCUCUAACCUUUGAAAGGGGGUUUCCACUCACUUGUCCUUCCUGAGCAAUCUUCUCUCCAUGUGGUUCUUACCAGCAGCAAUGAAAGUCCACGAGCUCUUAAGCAAUCCCUCUGCACACUCACAGGCCGGGGUGCAGGGCCCCAGUGGGCUAUCACUGGACCUGGCCACCUCUAGCAAACUUGACCCCGCUUUGGUUCAGGUCUCCUCUGAGCUGACCUCAAUGGUCUCAGUCUGAAGCCUGCUUACAUUUUGUGCUGCUUAUUGUUAACGACCUACUGCAUCCUACAACCACCCCUUGCCGGUUCCUGGUGUUCCCCUUGCUUUGGGGAAGCUCCUGCAGGCUGGAGGGAGCGCCCCGUGGAGCUUCCCUCCGCUGUGCCAGCCGGGUGUAACAACACGAGGUGCCUCCGCACCGCAAUACACGGCCGGGGCUGUUGCUCAAGCAGCAGUGACAGGCCAGCAGCAGUAGCAUCCAGCCUAGGAGCUGGUGGGACAUAUCGGGCCUCUCUGCUCUUCCAGACACUGUCCUGUGGCUGCUGUGCCUGGCGGUGCUGCAGCCAGGCGUGGAGCGAUGUGGGUGCUCACUGAGACCCACGCAGACCCGUGGCUCAGGGCCUACAAGACCCCUCUCACUGUGCUCAGCCUUCCCCAGGCCUUGGGAAGGGUGAAUUCCUGAGCCAGGAUGUUUUGUUGGGCCAAGAGGGAGCCAAAGGCCGGGAAGAGCCCUUGAUCCACUGCUUGGUCCCCAAAUUCAUCACUACCUCCACCCCUCCAGGCCCCAGGAGCCAGACUUCAGCUGGUGUGCAGUGCUUGGGCAGGCAGGGAGGAUGGCCAGGAAGGAGACGGGGAGGAUCCCGACCUGUUUUGCUCUGUGUUUGCCGGCUGUGUUUGUGUGGCUGGUUGUGGAACAGAAGGCAGGCUGCUGUCCUGGCCAUAUGAUCCUAUUUGGCCUGUGUUUUACCUGAUGGCAAAGGUGCGCAGCACACGGGAGCGACACUCGUUCAUGUGCAUUGACUUCAACUAAUAAAUGUCUGUUGGAAGCUUGGUUUGUAAA